rnacentral:lncRNA from 1 species
GAACCCAUAUCUUAUGAUGAUUAUUAUGAAAUCUUGAUGUUUAUGAUUUUGAAAGAUGAAUUUACAUGUGUGGAGAUAUAAAGCAUGAAUCUUGAAUGAUAUUUAUCAUGAUUUUGAUAUUUGGGUCGUGAAUCCCCAUUGAAAAUUGUGUUUUUUUGAGAAAGUGUGUUAUAAGCACGUUGAUGUUGAAUAUUUGAGAUAUUUUGAAUGAUUUGACCUUUUGGUCUUAAUGGAGUUGUUUUGAACUCGAGUGUGAAAGAAAUCCACAACGUGGUUGAUUUUGAUAGAUGGGAAACAUGAUGGCUCCCG